AUUGAACGCUGGCGGCAUGCUUUACACAUGCAAGUCGAACGGUAACAGGCCGCAAGGUGCUGACGAGUGGCGAACGGGUGAGUAAUGCAUCGGAACGUGCCCAGUCGUGGGGGAUAACGCAGCGAAAGCUGCGCUAAUACCGCAUACGAUCUAUGGAUGAAAGCGGGGGACCGUAAGGCCUCGCGCGAUUGGAGCGGCCGAUGUCAGAUUAGGUAGUUGGUGGGGUAAAGGCUCACCAAGCCAACGAUCUGUAGCUGGUCUGAGAGGACGACCAGCCACACUGGGACUGAGACACGGCCCAGACUCCUACGGUAGGCAGCAGUGGGGAAUUUUGGACAAUGGGCGCAAGCCCGAUUCAGCAAUGCCGCGUGCAGGAAGAAGGCCUUCGGGUUGUAAACUGCUUUUGUACGGGACGAAACGGUCUGGGUUAAUACCUCGGGCUAAUGACGGUACCGUAAGAAUAAGCACCGGCUAACUACGUGCCAGCCGCUGCAGUAAGAC
rnacentral:rRNA from 1 species